AAUGCAUAGGAAUCUGCCUAGUAGUGGGGGGACAACCUGGUGAAAACCAGGCUAAUACCGCAUACGACCUACGGGUGAAAGCAGGGGACCUUCGGGCCUUGCGCUAUUAGAUGAGCCUAUGUCUGAUUAGCUAGUUGGUAAGGUAAUGGCUUACCAAGGCGACGAUCAGUAGCUGGUCUGAGAGGAUGAUCAGCCACACUGGGACUGAGACACGGCCCAG
rnacentral:rRNA from 1 species